rnacentral:lncRNA from 1 species
GAUUUUUCCAGAUCUGAGCCUCAUUUUCAGGAGGAAGCCGGCGGCCGAGAUUUGGAGAAGCGACGCCUCAUCUGGAUCUGGGCGGUUCGCCAGCCCAGGAGGAAGGCGGCAACCGAGAUUUGGAGAAGAAGGGGUGAGCGGCGGCGGAGAGAGGCAAUCUCGUUUUUUUUUCUUUUUUUUAAAUUUUUCUUUUUUUUUAAUUGUUAAAAGCUUUACAAAAUGACGUCGUUUUGUAUGAUCGCCGGUAUGUCCACGUCUGCGAAUUCCGGGAGACACGUCAUCUAAGAUUUAGGGGAUGGUCAACGCAUAUGCAAAUCACAACAAAAUUAAAAGGUGGUGUAUUCUGAGACCAU